rnacentral:lncRNA from 1 species
GGCAACCUCCCCACCUGCGGCACCGACAACAAGUUCUGCGUCUGGCAGUUCAACUUCCGCGAGUUCAACAUCGGCGAAGACAUCUACGCGAGCGAGUCCAUCGAGCUUCUCCGCCAGUGCGGGAUCGAUUUCAAGAAGAACCUCGAGAGAGGGAUCGACGUGGCUCGCUUCGGGGAGCUCAUGAUGUCGUCAGGGAUCGUGCUCAACGAUUCCAUCUCGUGGGUUACUUUUCAUGGAGGUUAUGAUUUUGGUUAUUUGGUGAAGCUGCUGACGUGUAGGUAUCCGCCAGCACACACAUGAUGUAUGAGGCUGUCCGUGUGUGUUUGUGCGUGUCCAUCUGUGUCCGUCAGCACACACAGGACGUUUGUGGCUCUCCAUCAGUACACAUAUCGGCACGUUGGUCCUUGGACUGCCGACGACAAGUUCUGCGUCUGGCAGUUCAACUUCCGCGAGUUCAACAUCGGCGAAGACAUCUACGCGAGCGAGUCCAUCGAGCUUCUCCGCCAGUGCGGGAUCGAUUUCAAGAAGAACCUCGAGAGAGGGAUCGACGUGGCUCGCUUCGGGGAGCUCAUGAUGUCGUCAGGGAUCGUGCUCAACGAUUCCAUCUCGUGGGUUACUUUUCAUGGAGGUUAUGAUUUUGGUUAUUUGGUGAAGCUGCUGACGUGUAAGGAGCUGCCGAU